rnacentral:rRNA from 1 species
AGCAGCCGCGGUAAUUCCAGCUCCAAUAGCGUAUAUUAAAGUUGUUGCAGUUAAAAAGCUCGUAGUUGAAUUUCGGGAUCAAUAUGCUGGUCGUGCCAUUGGUACGUACUAGUAUUAAUUGGUUUCUCCCUUCUGAUGAAUCAUGAUGUCAUUAAUUUGAUGUCAUGUGGAAUCAGGACUGUUACUUUGAAAAAUUGAGUGUUUAAAGCAGGCUCGCGCUUGAAUACAUUAGCAUGGAAUAAUGAAAUAGGACGUUUGAUUCUAUUUUGUUGGUUCUAGGAUUGACGUAAUGAUUAAUAGGGAUAGUUGGGGGCAUUAGUAUUCAAUUGUCAGAGGUGAAAUUCUUGGAUUUAUUGAAGACUAACUACUG